GACGAACGCUGGCGGCGUGCCUAAUACAUGCAAGUAGGACGCACAGUCUAUACCGUAGCUUGCUACACCAUAGGCUGUGAGUUGCGAACGGGUGAGUAACGCGUAGGUAACCUGCCUAUUAGAGGGGGAUAACUAUUGGAAACGAUAGCUAAUACCGCAUAACAGUAUGUAACACAUGUUAGAUGCUUGAAAGAUGCAAUUGCAUCGCUAGUAGAUGGACCUGCGUUGUAUUAGCUAGUAGGUAGGGUAAUGGCCUACCUAGGCGACGAUACAUAGCCGACCUGAGAGGGUGAUCGGCCACACUGGGACUGAGACACGGCCCAGACUCCUACGGGAGGCAGCAGUAGGGAAUCUUCGGCAAUGGGGGGAACCCUGACCGAGCAACGCCGCGUGAGUGAAGAAGGGUUUCGGAUCGUAAAGCUCUGUUGUUAAGGAAGAACGAGCGUGAGAAUGGAAAGUUCAUACUGUGACGGUACUUAACCAGAAAGGGACGGCUAACUACGUG
rnacentral:rRNA from 1 species